rnacentral:tRNA from 1 species
GCCCGGAUGGCGGAACGGCAGACGCGAGCGGCUUAAACCCGCUUAUCCCCUCGGGGGUGUGCAGGUUCAAAUCCUGCUCCGGGCACGA